AUUGAACGCUGGCGGCAGGCCUAACACAUGCAAGUCGUGCGGAUGAAGGGAGCUUGCUCCUGGAUUCAGCGGCGGACGGGUGAGUAAUGCCUAGGAAUCUGCCUGGUAGUGGGGGAUAACGUCCGGAAACGGGCGCUAAUACCGCAUACGUCCUGAGGGAGAAAGUGGGGGAUCUUCGGACCUCACGCUAUCAGAUGAGCCUAGGUCGGAUUAGCUAGUUGGUGGGGUAAAGGCCUACCAAGGCGACGAUCCGUAACUGGUCUGAGAGGAUGAUCAGUCACACUGGAACUGAGACACGGUCCAGACUCCUACGGGAGGCAGCAGUGGGGAAUAUUGGACAAUGGGCGAAAGCAUGAUCCAGCCAUGCCGCGUGUGUGAAGAAGGUCUUCGGAUUGUAAAGCACUUUAAGUUGGGAGGAAGGGCAGUAAGUUAAUACCUUGCUGUUUUGACGUUACCAACAGAAUAAGCACCGGCUAACUUCGUG
rnacentral:rRNA from 1 species